AUUGAACGUGGCGGCACGCCUAAUACAUGCAAGUCGAACGAGAAAGCACUUCGGUGUGAGUACAGUGGCGGACGGGUGAGUAACGCGUAGGAAUCUACCUAGUAGUGGGGGACAACUCGAGGAAACUCGAGCUAAUACCGCAUACGCUCUUAGGAGGAAAGUGGGGGAUCUUCGGACCUCACGCUAUUAGAGGAGCCUGCGUUAGAUUAGCUUGUUGGUGAGGUAAAGGCUCACCAAGGCGACGAUCUAUAGCUGGUCUGAGAGGACGAUCAGCCACACUGGAACUGAGACACGGUCCAGACUCCUACGGGAGGCAGCAGUAGGGAAUCUUGGGCAAUGGGCGAAAGCCUGACCCAGCGAUGCCGCGUGUGCGAAGAAGGCCUUAGGGUUGUAAAGCACUUUCAGUCGUGAAGAAAAGCUACGAUUUAAUAUGUUGUGGUCUUGACGUUAGCGACAGAAGAAGUACCGGCUAACUCCGUGCCAGCAGCCGCGGUAAUACGGAGGGUACGAACGUUAAUCGGAAUUACUGGGCGUAAAGCGCGCGUAGGCGGUUUGAUAAGUGGGAUGUGAAAGCCCCGGGCUCAACCUGGGAACUGCAUUCCAAACUGUCAAACUAGAGUGUGGUAGAGGGCGGUAGAAUUUCCUGUGUAGCGGUGAAAUGCGUAGAUAUAGGAAGGAAUACCGAUGGCGAAGGCAGCCGCCUGGACCAACACUGACGCUGAG
rnacentral:rRNA from 1 species